rfam:Tetranychus urticae London genomic scaffold, scaffold_10
GCACUGGUGGUUCAGUGGUAGAAUGCUCGCCUGCCACGCGGGCGGCCCGGGUUCGAUUCCCGGCCAGUGCA